rnacentral:rRNA from 1 species
UUUCGGCAAGGGGGUCAUCCCGACUUACCAACCCGAUGCAAACUGCGAAUAUCGGAGAAUGUUAUCACGGGAGACACACGGCGGGUGCUAACGUCCGUCGUGAAGAGGGAAACAACCCAGACCGCCAGCUAAGGUCCCAAAGUCAUGGUUAAGUGGGAAACGAUGUGGGAAGGCCCAGACAGCCAGGAUGUUGGCUUAGAAGCAGCCAUCAUUUAAAGAAAGCGUAAUAGCUCACUGGUCGAGUCGGCCUGCGCGGAAGAUGUAACGGGGCUAAACCAUGCACCGAAGCUGCGGCAGCGACGCUUAUGCGUUGUUGGGUAGGGGAGCGUUCUGUAAGCCUGUGAAGGUGUGCUGUGAGGCAUGCUGGAGGUAUCAGAAGUGCGAAUGCUGACAUAAGUAACGAUAAAGCGGGUGAAAAGCCCGCUCGCCGGAAGACCAAGGGUUCCUGUCCAACGUUAAUCGGGGCAGGGUGAGUCGACCCCUAAGGCGAGGCCGAAAGGCGUAGUCGAUGGGAAACAGGUUAAUAUUCCUGUACUUGGUGUUACUGCGAAGGGGGGACGGAGAAGGCUAUGUUGGCCGGGCGACGGUUGUCCCGGUUUAAGCGUGUAGGCUGGUUUUCCAGGCAAAUCCGGAAAAUCAAGGCUGAGGCGUGAUGACGAGGCACUACGGUGCUGAAGCAACAAAUGCCCUGCUUCCAGGAAAAGCCUCUAAGCAUCAGGUAACAUCAAAUCGUACCCCAAACCGACACAGGUGGUCAGGUAGAGAAUACCAAGGCGCUUGAGAGAACUCGGGUGAAGGAACUAGGCAAAAUGGUGCCGUAACUUCGGGAGAAGGCACGCUGAUAUGUAGGUGAAGUCCCUCGCGGAUGGAGCUGAAAUCAGUCGAAGAUACCAGCUGGCUGCAACUGUUUAUUAAAAACACAGCACUGUGCAAACACGAAAGUGGACGUAUACGGUGUGACGCCUGCCCGGUGCCGGAAGGUUAAUUGAUGGGGUCAGCGCAAGCGAAGCUCUUGAUCGAAGCCCCGGUAAACGGCGGCCGUAACUAUAACGGUCCUAAGGUAGCGAAAUUCCUUGUCGGGUAAGUUCCGACCUGCACGAAUGGCGUAAUGAUGGCCAGGCUGUCUCCACCCGAGACUCAGUGAAAUUGAACUCGCUGUGAAGAUGCAGUGUACCCGCGGCAAGACGGAAAGACCCCGUGAACCUUUACUAUAGCUUGACACUGAACAUUGAGCCUUGAUGUGUAGGAUAGGUGGGAGGCUUAGAAGUGUGGACGCCAGUCUGCAUGGAGCCGACCUUGAAAUACCACCCUUUAAUGUUUGAUGUUCUAACGUUGACCCGUAAUCCGGGUUGCGGACAGUGUCUGGUGGGUAGUUUGACUGGGGCGGUCUCCUCCUAAAGAGUAACGGAGGAGCACGAAGGUUGGCUAAUCCUGGUCGGACAUCAGGAGGUUAGUGCAAUGGCAUAAGCCAGCUUGACUGCGAGCGUGACGGCGCGAGCAGGUGCGAAAGCAGGUCAUAGUGAUCCGGUGGUUCUGAAUGGAAGGGCCAUCGCUCAACGGAUAAAAGGUACUCCGGGGAUAACAGGCUGAUACCGCCCAAGAGUUCAUAUCGACGGCGGUGUUUGGCACCUCGAUGUCGGCUCAUCACAUCCUGGGGCUGAAGUAGGUCCCAAGGGUAUGGCUGUUCGCCAUUUAAAGUGGUACGCGAGCUGGGUUUAGAACGUCGUGAGACAGUUCGGUCCCUAUCUGCCGUGGGCGCUGGAGAACUGAGGGGGGCUGCUCCUAGUACGAGAGGACCGGAGUGGACGCAUCACUGGUGUUCGGGUUGUCAUGCCAAUGGCACUGCCCGGUAGCUAAAUGCGGAAGAGAUAAGUGCUGAAAGCAUCUAAGCACGAAACUUGCCCCGAGAUGAGUUCUCCCUGACUCCUUGAGAGUCCUGAAGGAACGUUGAAGACGACGACGUUGAUAGGCCGGGUGUGUAAGCGCAGCGAUGCGUUGAGCUAACCGGUACUAAUGAACCGUGAGGCUUAACCUU